rfam:Triticum aestivum genome assembly, contig: Triticum_aestivum_CS42_TGACv1_scaffold_471007_6AL
GAUACACUCCCUCCGUUCCGAAUUACUUGUCGCAGGUAUGGAUGUAUCUGGAUGUAUUUUAGUUCUAGAUACAUCUAUUUUUCUGCAACGAGUAAUUUGGAACGGAGGGAGUAUCAU